rnacentral:tRNA from 5 species
CGGGGAUUGGCGCAAUUGGCUAGCGCGCACGGUUUGGGACCGUGAGGUUGCUGGUUCGAAUCCAGUAUCCCCGACAA